rnacentral:misc_RNA from 1 species
AGCAGCCGCGGUAAUUCCAGCUCCAAUAGCGUAUAUUAAAGUUGCUGCAGUUAAAAAGCUCGUAGUUGAAUUUCGGGACUAAUAUGUCGGUCGUGCCUCGGUACGUACUGGCUUAUUGGUUUCUCCUUUCUGAAGAACCAUGAUGUCAUUUAUUUGGUGUCGUGGGGAAUCAGGACUGUUACUUUGAAAAAAUUAGAGUGUUUAAAGCAGGCUCACGCUUGAAUACAUUAGCAUGGAAUAAUGAAAUAGGACGUUUGAUUCUAUUUUGUUGGUUUCUAGGAUCGACGUAAUGAUUAAUAGGGAUAGUUGGGGGCAUUAGUAUUCAAUUGUCAGAGGUGAAAUCCUUGGAUUUAUUGAAGACUAACUACUGCGAAAGCAUUUGCCAAGGAUGUUUUCAUUAAUCAAGAACGAAAGUUAGGGGAUCGAAGACGAUCAGAUACCGUCGUAGUC